rfam:Salmo salar isolate Sally breed double haploid chromosome ssa01, whole genome shotgun sequence.
GUCUUACAAAACUACAAGUCGCUCUGGAUAAGAGCGUCUGCUAAAUGACUAACA